GUUCAAAUGAGAGGACCAGUUGCACGUCCCUCACUUUACGUCAAAAGCCGGACCUGAUCAAGCUCGGUGAGGAAGGAUGUCAUGAUUUGAGGCGGGAGCAAGGCCUCUUGUGCCACAGUCAGCCAAGUUGUGAAUGUGAGGAAAUGUUCUGGAAGGAGCUGAAAGGUGAGCGGUGAGCACAAUGGCGACGGGCAGAGAUACAGAACAAGUCAACAGGUGAACAGAAAACAGUCCGGGAUGGGGACACCAUUAUUUUCCUUGGUCGUGUUUUGGAAUGUCAGAGUGAUAUUCAAAUAACCUUAUUUGUCCUCAUACCUUAAGGUGAUGUAGAUGUAGGUAGAGGUUUUAGGACCUUGCAGAGAUGGACAGAUUAGGGGCAGGAGGUCAACAGUGACCUGGAGCCAUUUCAACAAGUCACCUCUGCUGGCUGUCUGGGCUUUGAUGUAGAAAUGAUGACCGAGGGUUUCUUGCAGCUCUCCACCCAGCCAGCUUCGAACACCACUGCUUUGUCCCCUGUUUCCUUGAUCCUGAGUCCCCACAGGAUGUGGUGCACUGCAGUGGUCACCGGUUGACGGCUCUGGCUAAAGGUAGGGACCCUGCACUUAUCCACCCGGGGGUGGGGGCUGGGGUUCCUCCCUCCCCCUUUCUCCUGCAGAUUCUCAGAUAAACAGUGAGCAAGCCAAAGGUGGCUUAACUUCCAGCAAGAAAAAGUGACUCUCUUGACUUGUACUGGACUGGCCAUCUGUGUGUCUGUCCUAGGUGGACCUGGAGCAGACGGAAGCUGACAACGUGCCUUAACAAUUCAACCUCUAGGACCUGACCUGUCCUCCAUCUAAUGGCAAUGGCGUGACUUAUGGUAGAACGGGAGUACAUUGCUGUUCAAUUACCAAAUAGAGCAAUUAACCAACCGGGAUUGCUCAGUGUUCAGGAGUGACACAGUCACCCACUGCGGCACCUCAUUUCUGGAUGUGACAGUGACCACUUCAAUCAGAUGCUUGCCUUUACUCCCCCUGGACCUUCUAGACAGCACUCGUUACCAAAUGACAAACAAUUCAAAUGCAGCCUUCAGCCCAGCCCUGUCCCGCUCACGGGAGACGUGAUUGCUAACCACAACUGGGACAUCCUGCAGUGUUGCCCCCUGGCCGGGUGGUCUCAGGUGCAGGGCCUGAAGAUGCUCUUCAACCUUGAGUGUUGACUCAGGGUUCUCCUGCAUGUGUGCAGACACCACAGAGGGAGCGAAGUCACAGGCAGGAAUCCCUGGGGCCUGGCAGGGAUGGAGCCUGCAAGAGCACGGCCCAGACCAGGUCGCUGCCUUCCAGUGAAAGAAGGCAGGCACAACCUCAGGCCAUAAAAGCAGACAGAGGAGGCCAUCAGUGACAAAUUGGGGAUGGAGUGCUGACGGUUCAAGGAGCAUUUAAAGAAAGUCACUAGACAGGAAAACUCCACAUGUCAGAAGAUCCCGCUUCUUCUGCAUGAAAACACAAAACAGAACGUCAC
rnacentral:lncRNA from 1 species